rnacentral:rRNA from 1 species
GGAUUAGAUACCCUGGUAGUCCAUGCCGUAAACGUUGAGUGCUAGGUGUUAGGGGGUCCAACCCUUAGUGCUGCAGUUAACGCAAUAAGCACUCCGCCUGGGGAGUACGGCCGCAAGGCUGAAACUCAAAGGAAUUGACGGGGGCCUGCACAAGCGGUGGAGCAUGUGGUUUAAUUCGACGCAACGCGAAGAACCUUACCAGGUCUUGACAUCUUCGGACAACCCAAGAGAUUGGGUCUUCCCUUCGGGGACCGAAUGACAGGUGGUGCAUGGUUGUCGUCAGCUCGUGCCG